GCUCCCGGAUUGGCUGAGAGGCCGCCAGCCCGGUUUGAUUUUUCCGCCGAGGGCCCCGCCCCGCCCCGCGCGCUCCCGCCGCCGUGCGGGGAGGGGCCGGGGGUGCGCCGAGACACGGGUACUAGCCUGGGGGCGGGGUCCCGACUCGGCCUCCUCCGGGUCUCGCGGGUGGCGGGCGGAGCCCCGAGCGGACCCCUUUCUCCUCCCCCUCCCCCUCUCGCGGCGGCUCAGCCCUCUCGGAGGGGCGGGGCCCGGCGCCCUACGAAAACCUGUCCCCAGGUGGCCUCGUGGGGUAAGGAUGGGGAGCACGCCUCCUCUGGGAGUCACCUUCCCUGUCUGACUCCCCUGGGGACUCUUCGCUGACGGUCCCCGGGCCCAGGCACCUCGACUCUGGGGCCCAUGUGCCAGGAGAGUCCCAAGAGGACUGGGCUCCAGCCAGCAGGACGCUUCCCCUUACAGAGGCCUGUCUGUCCACACUGCUGCCGGCUCCUCCCCUUGUCCCUGGGGAUAGCCUGGCCUUUCCUGCCUACUGCAGGACAAAGCCACUUUUUCCUGUGUCCCCAGAUCCCCAUCUGGUGACCAGCUCUCCUCUGCUCCAGCCUCUUCCCCUGGCCGGACCCUUCCUCCAGCGGUUCCCCAGGCGCUCCCGGCCAGGCAGCCCUGUGUCCCCAGCGGCCCCUGCUUCAUUUCCAGCCAGCAUCCAGCCAUUCUGUCUGGUGGUGAUAAAACGAUGUGAUCGGCUAUAAAAACUCCGUACCCUGGCUGUUCCGGGCGCACUCUUAUCAAGAGUGUUGGUCCCGAUCGGUCGGCCUUGCCUCUCAUUGUCAUAAACUUUGUUGUGACUGUCACUGGUGCCUGUAGCAUUCUGUUUCACGAGUCGUGUGGAUGCAACAGCCUUAACAGGGGUUAGCUGGGGCAGGUCUGGAGGAGAGGUCACUUCUCAUUUCGGGUCCCAAAAUGCCAUUUGAAUUUGUUUUACUUUAAGAUUUAAUAAAAACUUUUUUUU